CAUUUUCCAAUGAAAGACCAAGUAGAAGCUCCCACGAAAGACAAGCUUUUGCUUAAAAUUUGUUUAUCGUGAUUUUCAGAGCAGAUGAGGCCAGAGUGACCGCCAGCCUCCUCACAUGUAGAAACUAGCCCGAUUUGUCACUGAUUAGCAGAGCGGCACACUGUUAAAUGGCCUUCUCUUUCUGUCUGCAGGUCAAAGCCCAGGCGGGCACCACCUGAGACUGAGACUCCAUCGUCCAUCAUCCCCACGUAUAAGUCCUCCUGGGGGGCUGCCCCAGCAGCCGUGCGCCACAUGUGAGGCGACAAAGGGAGCCAAGGAGGUGAUAAGGAAAGAGCCUGAUACUCACUUAAGUUCUGGACUCAGAUGUGACACAGGAGGCUGUGCUCCUGCAGCUGUUUCUGCGGGCCCGUCAGGCCAUCCAUUCCUGAGAGGGCGGGCAACUUCCGAGCAGACUCAGACGGCAGAGGAGAACUUCCUGGCUCCCAUGCCACCUCUUUACAUCACCACCGCAUUCCCUGGGACCCACACACUAAGGAUCCACCGUCUUCUUGUGCUGCCUCUGUAUCCAUCCCCUUUUCUUAUUUGCUUACAUCGGCAUUCUUUACUCAUUAAAAUAACCUAAGCCAGGCGUGGUGGUACAGGCCAGUAAUUUCAUCACUCUGGGAG
rnacentral:lncRNA from 1 species